rnacentral:tRNA from 1 species
AUCUGGUUGGCUCAGUUGGUAGGGCAUGUGACUCUUGAUCUUGGGGUUGUGAGUUCAAGCCCCCCAUUGGAUG